rnacentral:rRNA from 1 species
CCAGCAGCCGCGUUAAUUCCAGCUCUGAUAGCGUAUUAUUAAAGUUGUUGCUAGUUAAAAAGCUCGUAGUUGGAUUUUAGAGUAUAUUGAUAUGGUCUCUUGUGAUAAACUUGUUGUACUGUAUUAAUUACUCUUUCCUACUGGUUACUCGACUCUGUUCUUUAUUGCAUGGAGUAGUGUCGCAAGGCAUCGCUUAGUAUUUUAUUGCUUUUAGAUGUAGUAAUUGGGUAAAACUGGUUGCGAAAACCUAAGGGAUCACAGUAAGGUAUUAAGUGGGGUUCCAGUUCAUUUACUUUGAGUAAAAUUAGAGUGUUCAAAGCAGCCUGUAUGGGCAUUGAAUAGAUUAGCAUGGGAUAAUAGAAUAGGAUUCUUAUCUAUUUAUUGGUUUAUAGAUUUAGAAUAAUGAUUAAUAGGGAUAGUUGGGGGC